CCCAGGGCCAGGUUUGAGAACAUCCCCAUGAAGUCCUGACCUGUCUUUUAUCCUACCAGGACAAGACUGUGGUGGUGGCAGACUUUGGGCUGUCACGGCUCAUAGUGGAAGAGAGGAAAAGGCCCCCCACAGAGAAGGCCACCACCAAGAAACGCACCUUGCGCAAGAACGACCGCAAGAAGCGCUACACGGUGGUGGGAAACCCCUACUGGAUGGCCCCUGAGAUGCUGAACGGAAAGAGCUAUGAUGAGACGGUGGAUAUCUUCUCCUUUGGGAUCGUUCUCUGUGAGAUCAUUGGGCAGGUGUAUGCAGAUCCUGACUGCCUUCCCCGAACACUGGACUUUGGCCUCAACGUGAAGCUUUUCUGGGAGAAGUUUGUUCCCACAGAUUGUCCCCCGGCCUUCUUCCCGCUGGCCGCCAUCUGCUGCAGACUGGAGCCGGAGAGCAGGUUGGUAUCCUGCCUUUUUCUCCCAGCUCACAGGGUCCUGGGACGUUUGCCUCUGUCUAAGGCCACCCCUGAGCCCUCUGCAAGCACAGGGGUGAGAGAAGCCUUGAGGUCAAGAAUGUGGCUGUCAACCCCUGAGCCAUCUGACAACACGUAUGUACAGGUUGGAGAAGAGAGAGGUAAAGACAUAGCAGCAAGUAAUCUGGAUAGGACACAGAAACAGCCAUUAAAAGAAAGUUUAAAAGAAGGAAAUUCACCCAAACCAUUUGAAUACAGUAAGUGUAUUCAUCUUUCGAUAUUCCCCUGUCCAUAUCUACACAUAUACUUUUUUUUAUAGUAAAUAGUUCUGUAUUUUGCC
rnacentral:sRNA from 1 species